ACACCUGAUGUGGACUGUGGUCUGUGUUGGAUGUUGCUGUUCAGUCUGUGUCCUGUCUCUGCUCUCCUCUCCUCUCUCCUCUCCUCCACCUGUGUCUACUCCUUCUGCAGAACAACAGCUCCAACUGAGACUCAUGUUCCUCUGAACAGGACGACCACCAGGGGAAGUGACAGCAGAGAGCAGACUACAGUCAGACAAAGUAUGAGACCUGUACCAUCCAACAAUACCAGCAGAGUGAGACCUAUACCAUCCAUCAAUACCAGCAGAGUGAGACCUAUACCAUCCAUCAAUACCAGCAGAGUGAGACCUAU